GUGGGGAAUAUUGGGCAAUGGGGGAAACCCUGACCCAGCGACGCCGCGUGAGGGAAGAAGGCCUUAGGGUCGUAAACCUCUGUUGUGUGGGAAGAAGAGCGUGACGGUACCACACGAGGAAGUCCCGGCUAACUACGUGCCAGCAGCCGCGGUAAUACGUAGGGGACGAGCGUUGUCCGGAUUUACUGGGCGUAAAGGGCGCGUAGGCGGUCAUUUAAGUCAGCUGUGAAAUGGUUUGGCUUAACCGGAUCAUGCGGUUGAAACUGGAUGACUGGAGUGCUGGAGAGGCAAGUGGAAUUCCCAGUGUAGCGGUGAAAUGCGUAGAUAUUAGGAGGAACACCAGUGGCGAAAGCGGCUUUCUGGACGACAACUGACGCUGAGGCGCGAAAGCCAGGGGAGCAAACGGGAUUAGAUACCCCUGUAGUCC
rnacentral:rRNA from 1 species